GCGCCCCUCGGUACCCCGGGGGGCAUGCCUGUUCGAGCGUCA
rnacentral:rRNA from 1 species